rnacentral:misc_RNA from 2 species
CCGAGUGAGGGCCCUCUGGGUCCAACCUCCCACCCGUGUUUAUCGUACCUUGUUGCUUCGGCGGGCCCGCGUCCGCCGAAGACACCAUUGAACGCUGUAUGAAGAUUGCAGUCUGAGCUUAUUAGCUAAAUUAGUUA